CAUAUGGAGGAAAAGCUACUUUGAUUUCAUCAGUUUUACAAAGUAUGCCAACACACAUGCUAUCAGUGCUUGAUCUACCAAUAUCUUAGAACAUCUGCAUAAAACCUUUGCUCGAUUUUUCUGGAGCAACAAUGAUAAAAGAAGAAGUGGGCAUUAGAGUAAGUGGCAGAAUAUGUGCUUGACAAAGGAAGAAGGCGGACUGGGUUUUAGAUCCCUUUUUGAUGUCUCAAAAUCAUUAUUUGCCAAAUUUUGGUGGAAUUUUAUGACUACUAAAACACUCUAAACUAAUUACAUGUGGAAUAAGUACUGUAAAAAGGAUCUCCCAACUACUGUCCAAUUAGUGAGGGUUCACAUGUUUGGAAGAAAAUGUUAGAGUCCUGAGAAGAAGUAGAACAUGAAAUAUUACGAGAGAUGAAUAGAGGCAUUACCAACAUAUGGCAUAAAAAUUGGACUGGUCUAGGCUCAUUGUAUCAUGUUGUUCCACAAGACUUUGACUGCAAUGAAAACCUGAAAGAAGUUGAUGAAUUGAGAGAAGAAAAUGCUUGGAAUCAACACCUAUUGGAACAAACUUUUCCACCUGACAUUUCAGAACACAUCGGGCAAGAACUACACUUUGAAACAACUGAUGACCAUUGGGACACACCUAAAUGGAUGCCUACUGCAUCAGGAAGAUUUUCAGUAACUACUGCUUGGCAAUUAGUUCGCCACAGGGCAAACUUCAAUCAGGAUUACAAGCAAUUAUGGACAAAAGGGAUGCCCUUCAAAAUAUCAUUCUUUCUUUGGCGACUAUGGAAAGAAAAAAUUCCAACAGAUGAUAUGUGAAGAAGGAUGGCUACAUAGUGGUGUCAAAAUAUUGGUGAUGUAUUCAACCUCGGUCUAAAACUCUUCAACAUAUAUUCUUAACAAGCUCAACAGCAAAUAGAGUUUGGAGAGUUUUUGGACAAGCAUCAGGUAUAGUAGAUAACCUAGUACAGGUUCAUCAAGAUAUAAAGACAUGGUGGAAUGUGAAAUGCUGUCCAAAAUUAAAGCCCUUACUCCAGGCAGCCCCAGCAGUGAUUACUUGGGAACUAUGGAAGAUAAAAAAUACAAUGAAGCAUGGUGGAACAACAACCUACAGCAGGGUCAUUCAUGAGGUGAAUCAGACAUUGCAUUAUCUAACAAGGAUCAAAUAUCCUUGGUUAACAAACAUACCCCUUCGAUGGCCAGACAUGAUUGCAUUAUUCGAGGGGUAUAAACCCUAUGUGGUGACCAAGAGAGUUACAUGGAACUCACCAUACAAGGGCUGGUUCAAAUGCAAUAUGGAUGGAGCCUCAAGAGCCAAUCCAGGACAGAGCUCCUAUGGCUUUUGUGUGAGAGAUUGGAGAGGUGAUUUGGUUGUUGCUAAAGCAAAAAUGAUUGACGACACCACCAAUAUGGUUGCAAAAGCAAUGGAAAUUAAAGAAGGGUUGACUUAUGGUAUUACUAAUCAGAUUCAUCCUCUAAUAAUUGAGCCUGACUCACUUGCAAUGAAAAAUAUAAUAGAAGGUGAAUGGAAAACCCCCUGGUGCAUAACAAAGGAGGUAAAGAGGAUAAAGGGAAUGAAGGGCAAUUUCAAUGUCAUCUUCCAACAUGUUCUAAGGGAGGGCAACAUACUGGUAGACUUUUUAACUAACCUUGCUUUUUCUUCUGCAGGUACAACUAUAUUUAACUCAUUUUUGGAGUUAUCAAGUGCAGGUAGGAGGUUACUCAACCUAGACAAGGCCCAUAUCCCAAACCUUAGGAUAAGGGUAGCAAAGAGGAAAUCACCAGACUAGUUAUUCAAAGAUGUAGCAUGUUGUUUACCUGUACCAUGCUGUUUGAGUUUGACAAGAUUCUUUUACUAACAAUGAAUGUGACUUCUGUCAGCUGUCCACAACUUCUGCUGACCAUAUGCACUAAAGACAACAAUUGUUAUUCAACCAAACAACAUCUGGGUUGGGCGAAAAGAUCACAACUUACAAUUAUUGGCAAGUACUUAUCAAAUGCAGCUUCCUGCUUCGGCAACUUAUCGGUCUCAACUGGUCCUUUAGGCUGUGGAAUAUUCAUUCACUAUCUAGUAUUUUUGCACUCAUUUUACAUAGUUCCUAGACAUGAUAAGAUCUCAUACUAUCAGUUUUCUUCAACAAACAAUUACUGCAGCAGUAGACAUGAUAUUAAUUUCACCAAGAAUGGAUACAACAGUACUCAUUCUUCAACGCACAUUUACAUUCCAUCCCAAGCUAGUUAUCUGAGAAUUUUCGAUGCAAAUAUGAACCUAUUUACACUUGAUGUUUUGGACAGCUUGGAAAAAAUCCCAGACUGUAUGGAGAUGUGUCAUUUUCCAGUGGUGUUAGCAUUUUACAAUGUUCAUUCUGGAUAUGAUAGUUCACUAUAUGGAAGGAGUUGCAGUGGUUGUUCUGAACUAUGGGCGUUCAACUUUUACAUAGCUACUUGGUUGAUGGAAAGUACAGAAUCCAAAACUGGUUUCACGCAAGGAAAGAUCAAAGUUAGAUGCUCAACACAGCUGUUGUUAUUCCUGUUCUUCACCACUAUAAUAACUAUGUCCGAACUAUUAUUUUGUAUUUGUUGCGGAUUAACACACACCUACUUAGUGCUUUGUAGGUGUUACGUGGAGUUGUUUGCAUUGACUCUGCCACUGCAAGUAUGCUCUUACGAAACUUCAAAAGAUCAACAUUCAACAAAAAUAUCAUGAUGCACUGUUCCCACACAACACCUUACUAUUACUGGUUUAAUUUGGAAGAAGCUUCUAUUGAGGAGACUUACUAUACUUGAUUCUUUAGGACUGUAUCCUUUAUGUUUGGAGAUGUUUCGACAUUUAGUGGUAUUAGCAUUACAUAAUGCUCAAUCUGUGGUUGCCGCAUCACCAGAUGGGAAGAUAUAAUUCAAUUUUCCCAACUUUUGGUUUCCCCUACUACUGUGUUGCUGCCAACACAGUCAUUUCCCAGUGAUUCAAUUGUCCUGUCCUUGGCUGGUUUAUUGUUCAAAAUUUACCGCUUCAAACUUGAUCUCAACCAAAGAAAAAUCAAAUGCAUGUUUUCUGUAUCAGCAAUGUUGUUGGAGUUCUUCAGCCCCAAAAUGAAGAUGUCCAAUCUGCUUUGCUUUACAACUAGUGGAUUAAAACAUACCUACUUCAUUGGAUUACAACAAAUGGCACCCGGUGAGAGCUUUGUAGGUGCUACAAGGAAUUGUUUGCAACUUGUGUGCGAAUUCAUUAUCAUCGACAAUAGUUGGAUGUUUCAAAAUAGUAGCUUAGUACUUUUCAUUUAUCUUUAUGCUACUGCUACAUUGUAUUUGGUAGGAAUAACCAUUGGCUUUCUUUGUUUGAUUUAUUUCUCUUUUACUUGAACAUUGUGUAACUUUUUCCCAGUUUAGGAAUUAUUAUAUAUAACAGCUACUAGGUGAAUAACUUAGUAGUAUAUUUGCUUUUAAAAUAAACUACCCUUCCAACCCCUAUUUUUUAAAAUUUUCUUUUAGUAUUAGGCUUGGGCCAGAGGCCAACAGGCCCAAAAUCAAGGUCUAGCCCACCAAUCCUUUCUCAACUCACCCCCUAAUCUAGUGAGUCUGCCAAGACCAGGUCCAAUUCCAAACAAAUCCCAAGCGGCCAAACAAACUAGAUGUCGAAAUUCAAAAUUGAAAACUAAGUAAACCACUUUGAAAUUGAAACAAAUUCUAGAACUACAAUCUAUACUAGCAUAUGCAAAUAAUUGAGCAAUUAAAGUUACCUUAAAACUUGCAAUUACUAAUUGAAAUUACAGCAUGUAUUUAAUUAUCAAGCCACCUAAACACUAAUUGAUUCCAAAUUAUUGAUUAAACAUGCUCGGACAGAAUUCAUCGAGACACAUCAAUUAGAAAGAAUUAUACAGAAGGGGAGGAGUGUAUACCAAAUCUGCUAUACACCCGAUCAGCGUCAAAGAAAUGCGGUGAUUGUAAUGAAUUCUGGUGACGAUCAAUAGAACUCCGGUGAGCAAAGAGGAUUGUCACAUGAGCAUUGGCCGACAAAUGUUUAUGCGAUCCAGUGCUACAUGUAACAAUGCUCAUUACAAGCCGAAUUGAAGAAGAAAAGAUGAAGUUUGGGGAAGUUCGGCCUGUCUACGACGGUCAACGAUGUUUCGGCCACCGAAAAAUGGUAAAAAAAUGACCUCAAACGAAAGGUCUUUCCGAGACGUAUCAUUUGAUGUAAAAUUUAGGUAAAGAGGAGGUCGGGUUGAUAGUAAUUUAGCAAAGGGGCAAAAAAGUUGGGACUUUUAUUCCUAGGUCUUCUAAUCGGCAGGAUUGGGAGGUUUUUUGGGGGGAAAUGAUGUUGGAUUAAGGGUGAGGAGGUGGUGAGGAGUAUUUGAUAAUUUUUUGGGUGGAUUAGUGUUGAUCCGCCGCCGGAUGGCGAUUUUCGGGUAGUGGAAGACGGCGAAGUAAGGUGGCUAAUUUGAGAGAAUGAGAGAAUUGGGGGCAUCUAGGGUUUGGCAUAGUGGGG
rnacentral:lncRNA from 1 species